CUGAAGUUUCCUCCAGUGUGGUAAGGGCCAGGCUUGAACCUGCUUGGUCAGCAUGAGAGAGCAAGCACACUACCCAGCUCAAAAUAGGCGAUCUGGGUGGCCCAGGUUGUGGCACAGUAGGUAAAAUAUUUGAUUCCCAAACAAGAGGUCCUGAGCUCAAUCCCUGGCAUCAUAGAUAAAACUAACUCCUAAGAAUACACAUUCUUCCUGUGUGGACAAGUUAUGGUGAGUAACCACGACCCUGAAGACGUGAGUGGGGCUGGAUGCCUCUCUGGAAUGGGGAGAGGAGGCAUGAGAACAUUGGACCUCAUAUUCAGAUAUUGUCUCAAAUUUUGAUUUUUAAAGAUUAUUCUCAUACUUGCAUGUAUAUAUUACAUCAGUGAAAAAUAGUUGCAUUGCAUUUAUGAAUGUGUAAUAAAAAUCAUGAUUUGCUAAGU